UACGUAGGCAGCAAGCGUUGUUCAGAAUUACUGGGCGUAAAGAGUUCGUAGGCGGUGCGGCAAGUUCGGUGUGAAAUCUUCCGGCUCAACUGGGAGGGUGCGCUAAAUACUGCCGUGCUCGAGUAUAGGAGAGGUAAGCGGAAUUCCUGGUGUAGCGGUGAAAUGCGUAGAUAUCAGGAGGAACACCGGUGGCGAAGGCGGCAUCCUGGACCGACACUGACGCUGAGGAGCGAAAGCCAGGGGAGCAAACGGG
rnacentral:rRNA from 1 species